rnacentral:antisense_RNA from 1 species
CUUGUAAGAAACACCUCAUUCAAAGUUGUUAUGGAAACACCAUAAUCCUCAAUGCCUUGGUUAGAACAUCUAUCAAGAUCCCUGUAAAGUUCUAAAAGUGGACACAAAAACAGAUUAUAAGAAUAUAAUUUAUAAUGAGAACCAUAUUUCUCAAAAAUGUAAAAUAUUGGUAAUAGGCCAAAUGUACCAAUCAGAAACAAAAUUGUGAUACAGAUGAUCUCAUUUCUAAAAUGAUCCAUAUAGUAUGUUACUUUUCAUGUCUUUUUGAGAUCAAAGUCUAAUCUAAACAUUUAUUUUUUCAUUCUUAGGAAACUACCUAUGUGUUUUUUGAAAAACAUAUUUUACUUAAUAUAUUUUUUAAAAUUUAUUUUUGUUAUAUUACAGGGAGUGUUUAAUUCUCAAUUUCAACUAAUUAAAAAAAUAUUUUCCA